UACAGAGGGUGCGAGCGUUGUCCGGAAUUAUUGGGCGUAAAGGGCUCGUAGGCGGUUUGUCGCGUCGGGAGUGAAAACACCGGGCUUAACUCGGUGCUGGCUUUCGAUACGGGCAGACUAGAGGUAUUCAGGGGAGAACGGAAUUCCUGGUGUAGCGGUGAAAUGCGCAGAUAUCAGGAGGAACACCGGUGGCGAAGGCGGUUCUCUGGGAAUGUCCUGACGCUGAGGAGCGAAAGUGUGGGGAGCGAACAGG
rnacentral:rRNA from 1 species